GACGAACGCUGGCGGCGUGCUUAACACAUGCAAGUCGAACGGAAAGGCCCUGCUUUCGUGGGGUGCUCGAGUGGCGAACGGGUGAGUAACACGUGAGUAACCUGCCCUUGACUUUGGGAUAACUUCAGGAAACUGGGGCUAAUACCGGAUAGGAGCGCCGGCUGCAUGGCGGGGGUUGGAAAGUUUCGGCGGUUGGGGAUGGACUCGCGGCUUAUCAGCUUGUUGGUGGGGGAGUGGCUUACCAAGGCUUUGACGGGUAGCCGGCCUGAGAGGGUGACCGGCCACAUUGGGACUGCGAUACGGCCGAGACUCCUCCGGGCGGCAGCAGUGGGGAAUAGUGCACAAUGGGCGGAAGCCUGAUGCAGCAACGCCGCGUGCGGGAUGACGGCCUUCGGGUUGUCCCCCGCUUUCGCCUGUGACGAAGCGUGAGUGACGGUAAUGGGUAAAGAAGCACCGGCUAACUACGUG
rnacentral:rRNA from 1 species